GAUGUUUUUUUUUUUUUUUUGAGACAGGGUCUGGCUCUGUUACCCAGGCUGGAGUGCAGUGGUGUGAUCACAGACUUAACCACUCUGUCUAACACCAAAGACUUCUCUGUUGGAAUGAAAAUAAUGUAAGACGUUUGUUGGUAGUUGCCAAAAUUUUUUAUUUUAUAUUUCAAACUUGGAGAUUUUCUGAAAUCUCCAUAACUACUUUCAGGAAGGAAAAACUUUGUGUAUUGAUUCUUUUCUGAAUCAGAUCACCCUAAAUGUAUGAUGGGGUGAAUAUUCAGAAUGGUUUUUUUUUUUAAUUAUAUACUUAAUCGAUGUUUGAAGUGUUUCCUUAGUUAUUACAACUUGUCAAUAAAAAAGUUGUUGCAAUUGGGAUGAAAAGGAAUAGUGAAGACACUGAAUAAUGAAGGUGUUUUGAGAGAUGUUAAUGCAUAGUUCUAAAUCUAAAUGCCAUUGAAUGCUACUGAUUAUAUACCUAGUUUUUCUUUAAGAUUAAUGGCUUUAAAAUCAUCAUCAUUAUCCUUAGCACAGUUCUUCAUAUGUAGUCAGAUGUGUAUAAUUCCACUGAAUGUUCAUUCAACAAAUAUUUGAGCAUCUAUGUACUCUGGGAAAUAGCAAACAAAAUAGAUAAUCCCUGCUUUUAUGGAACUUACGUUGAUUUGCAGAAUUUACAUUUAUAAUCAAAACAAGUAAAUUAUAAAGUUUGUUAGAAGGUAUUGCAUUUUGUGGAGGAAAAAAUUAAGCAGCAAAGGGGAAAAGGGAGUGAAGACUUAGAGUUUUAAAUGGGGUAAUGUAUUGGUUUUCCACUGCUACCAUAACUACCACAAACAUAAAAGUGGCUUAAACAAUACAAAAUUCAUUAUCUUACAUUUCUGGAGGUCAGAAGUUUGAAAUGGGUCUUGGUAGGCUAAAAUCUAGGCAUUGGUAGGGCUGUGUUCAUUUAUAGAGGCUCUAGGCAAUAAUCUGUUUUCUUUCCUUUUCCAUUUCUAGAGGCUGCUUACAUUUCUUGGCUUGUUCUCUUCCUCCAUCUUCACAGUAACCAACUUUGUAACUCUUUGAUCAUUCUUCUGUAGUCACAUCUCCCUCUCUGUUUUAAAGAUGCUUGUGAAUACAUUGGACCCUUUUAGAUAAUCUAGGAUAAUAUUUGUAUGUUAAGGUCAUUGAUUAGCAGCCUUAAUUCUACCUGCAACCUUAAUUCCCCUACGGGCUCCAGGGAUUAGGUUGUGGGCAUCGUUUGGGGACCUACCCAAAUUAUUCUACCUACCACUAACAGUUAGGAGACAAGUAAAAUUUACUGAAAAGCCUGUAAGUGAGAGAGGCAGGGAAUAGUAUUCCAGACUGGGGGAACAGCAAUCACAAAGGUCCUGAGGUAGGAGUAUGUCUGGCGUGUUCAAGGAAGAAUAAGAGGUGAGUGUGACUGAAAGGGAAUAAGUGAGCGGGAGAAUAGUAGAAAAUGAGGUCAGAGAGGAGAGGUAAUGGGGACAAACAUAUUACAGGGCUUAUAGGUUAUUGUCAUAAUUGAUAUUUACCCAGAAAAUGUGGAAGACAAUAAGGAUGAGACUGUUGCUGGGUUCAACUAAUUUGGGAGUAAAAAUUAGCCUAGAAGCAAGGAGACAAGAGGCUACUUGUAGCAAUCUAGGGAGAGAUGAUAGUGACAUAAAAAGAAGGCCGACAAGAAGGAAAAGAAUACAAUAACAGG